rnacentral:rRNA from 1 species
UACGAGGGGUGCAAGCGUUGUUCGGAAUUAUUGGGCGUAAAGGGCCGGUAGGUGGUCUUAUCAGUCUACUGUGAAAUCCCCGAGCUCAACUCGGGACGUGCGGUGGAUACUGUAAGACUAGAGUGCUGGAGGGGUUCGUGGAAUUCCCGGUGUAGCGGUGAAAUUCGUAGAUAUCGGGAGGAACACCGGUGGCGAAGGCGGCCCCCUGGUUGGAUACUGACGCUGAGACGCGAAAGCGUGGGGAGCAAACAGG